rnacentral:rRNA from 1 species
AGAAUCAACGCUGGCGGCGUGCCUCAGACAUGCAAGUCGAACGAUUAAAGCUCUCUUCGGAGAGUGUAUAGAGUGGCGCACGGGUGAGUAACACGUAAGUAAUCUACCUUUGAGUGGGGAAUAACGUCCGGAAACGGACGCUAAUACCGCAUAAUGCAGCGGCAUCGCAAGAUGACAGUUGUUAAAGAUUUAUCGCUUGAAGAGGAGCUUGCGGCAGAUUAGCUUGUUGGUAAGGUAACGGCUUACCAAGGCUACGAUCUGUAACCGGUCUAAGAGGACGGUCGGUCACACUGACACUGAAUAACGGGUCAGACUCCUACGGGAGCAGCAGUCGGAAUUUGGCAAUGGCGAAGCCUGACCCAGCAACGCCGCGUGAAGGAUGAAGUAUUUCGGUAUUAGUAAACUUACGAAAGAAGUAGGAAGAAUUACAAGUUACGAACGGUUAACC